GCCCCAGUGCUUGAGAUUGUGAAUGUGCCGCAGCUCUCCUGUGGGCAGGCCAGCGGGCGUCAGGCUCUGUCCCUGUCUCCAGGCCUGCCUUCUGCUUUGGCCCUGGCUACUGGGACCCAGUGUUCCCUCUGUUGCAGAGUCCAAGGUCCCUGUCCCACCCUCCCUGCAGCCACAUGGCCUGAGCCUGCCCGGGCCCUCACCUCUCCGGUUGAAGAACUCCCGGGAAUAGCGGCCUGAGAGGGCGAAGGCUGGGGGGAUGUCCCCCAGAAGCUCCACGAUGUGAGCUAUGUGGUCUGUGGCAGAAAGAGGAGGUUGGGGGCGGGCAGGCCGGGCUGCCGGGAGGCUGAGCAUCCCCCAGGGCCCUCAUCCCUUACCCUCAUCACGACUGUAGUCUUCUCCAGAAUGUGGCUCGAACAGGUAGUCACCAGUGGCCAGCUCGAAGGCCUGGAAGGGGGAGGAAGUGAGGCUGCUGGCCAAUGGGCUGGUGGCCCUGGGCACAGGGCAGCCCGGGUGGGCGUACCAUGCAGGCUGUGCUCCAGAUGUCUGCUGGGGGGCCAUAUUCGGCGCCAAUCAGCACCUCGACGGCCCGGUACUGCCGAGUCUGGAUGUCCUCUGUGAAGUGCUUGUGCUGGAGGCAAGGGGAGCCCUGGGGACAGGGGCCAGGGCCAAGGCUGGCCCGCCCCCACGGACUCCUACCCCACCCUGAUCCACCUACCCGAGGAGCUCGGUGGGGCUUGCUCUGAGCCUCGGGGUCCCCAGAUCUUCCAAGAGGGACAGGCCCAGUGAUCUGAGGCUGAGGCUGACCCUUUCCUAAUGACCCCUGCCCUUGGCCACAGCCCCGGUGCUGUUGACUGGGCAGGACCGAUUCCCACCCAGCCGAUGGUUCAUGUGCACUGCAGGCUGGGGCAGGGCUCCCCAAGAGUGGCCCUGUGCCUCCACCCUUGGACCAGGGCCCCCCACUGUGCUCUCCCAGGCUUGCGCGUACCACCCAGCAGGCGUUGCCCAGGUCUGCGAUCUUGAUCUUGAUCUUAUCUGCAUUUUGGGGCUCCAGGGGGUUCACCAGGAGGUUCGAGGCACCGAAUGGUGCUGGAGAAGGCAGAGCGGGGAGACUGAAGUGGUCUGAUUCCUGCCAGCCCUGCCUGCCCGCCGCCCGCCGCCCAACUUACUGCUAGGUGACAAGAGGCCCCCGGUCUCUCGCUGAUUGGAUGAGCCGGAGAGGAUGGAGCAGGAGGCAGGAGAGAAGAGGGAGCCAGAGAAACCUGAGCUUACCGGUCUGCUGUCAGAGCCAGGGUCACCCCAGGGUUCCUGUCGCCCGCCCCAGUCAGCAUGAAGUGGAGGUUUCCCUGCAUGGCCACCAGGGAAGAGGCCUCUCCGGGCCCCAGGGCUCCCAUGGACUCCAGAAUGUGGCACCAGCACCCCUUGGCACCAGCUCCUCACCACUGUCCCUGCCUCCCCGCCUGUGGCCCCACUCCCCACAGCUCCAUUAGGAGUGGGAGGACCUGACUGGCCCGCCUCUGGGUGCUCUCUGUUCCCUCUCAGCCCAAGCUAAGGCAGCCGGAAAUGGCCACUCGGGGAAGACAGCAUCCUUUCACCAAGAGCCGUUUGGGGCAUUUGAGCCGUCCCGGGAGUCAUCCUCCGCCCAGCCACCCGGGCUUUCGGGAUGACCACCGUGGGAGUGCAUGAAGGGGGGAGUGAAGCCAGUGUGGCUCCAGAGAUGGCCUCCAGUUGGCUCGGAUGGGAGAGGAGGCAUGGGAGAGAGGGGCCCCCCAACUUACCAAGACCUCCUGGGGGGCAGUACUGACUGGGAGUGUAGGUGGGGAGCAGGAGACAGGGAGGAACAGAGACUCAGGCAAGGGUUCAGGCCCAGAGGUCCUGACCCAGCCCCAUGUGGACCCUUGGUACCUAUGGAGCGGGAAGGGGGCGGUGCCCCUGCCUGUUGCCACUCCGUGGCCUCGGCAGCCAGGCGCCUGAUGUAAGCGUCCCCCACACAUAGCAGGAUGUUCUCGGGCUUAAUGUCCGUGUGGAUGAUCUUGCACUUAGUAUGGAGGUAGUCCAGGCCGUGCAGCACCUGCGGAGGGUUGCACCUGACCUCCACGAACUCCCCCUCAGGCCAGGCUGGGCAGCCUAGUGGGUGGCACUCACCUGCCUCACGAUGCUCUUCACGCAGGGCACGGGCAGGCCCUGGUAGUUGGACUUGAUGAUCCAUUUGAGGAGCUGGUGGCCCAGCACCUCCAGCACCAUACACACGUCUAGGCCGGGAGUGAAGGGCGGACAGUAGACACCAGCUGCGGCUCAGGCCCCACCCACCCUCAGCUGGGGGAGCAGCCAGGCUUGGGCCAUGCGGAGGUGGGGAGGCAGGGCCUCCCCGGGGCAGUCCUGGUCACCAGUAUGCUGGUGUCGUCGAUAGUGUCCCUGUCGCUCUCAACAGGUAUACCAGGUUGGGAUGGUGCAUUUUGUGGUUAUCCUAGAGGUGGCGCUGGAGAAGCAGGCACAGAGGCCAGCCCACUCCCACGCCAGUUAUGCCAUAGGGCCUCUUGGCAGUCCCCCAAAGGGAAGGCAGCACCACAGAGGCAGCACCUGCCGUUUGGGGGUGACAGCAACGUCCAUGGACAAUCAACGCUAACUUAUUACUGCUUCCACAUAAACACAAUUACCUGGGGGUGGGGUCAUGCCAGAGGCUUGCGUUACUGGGAGGGAUGCAAGCCCAUUGUGUGGAUCUGCAGACAGGCUCUAGCAGUGAGGGCCCCCGUUUGCCGGCCCUUGGCUGCCACACUGCUUUGCUUUUCCUGCAAAGGAUACGGACUCCAUUGACUCCUGAGAUCCUGAAGUCAUCAAUGAGCUGGACAAUGGUCUCUCUUUUGGGGUCACUGGGGUCGCUGUCUCGGACCUGGAGUAAAAGCCAAGGGACCACAGACGGUUCCACCCUGCCCUGAA